AUAGAUGUGAGGAGUUGGGAUCCUCCAGCAGUGGAAACAAGGAAACACUCGCUUAAAGAUCCACUAA
rnacentral:ncRNA from 2 species